rnacentral:rRNA from 1 species
GACGUAGGGGGCCAGCGUUGCUCGGAAUUACUGGGUGUAAAGGGUUCGUAGGCGGUGUGGCAAGUCGGGAGUGAAAUCUCUGGGCUCAACUCAGGGGCUGCUUCCGAAACUGCCGUGCUAGAGUGUGGGAGAGGCGCGUGGAAUUGCAGGUGUAGCGGUGAAAUGCGUAGAUAUCUGCAGGAACACCCGUGGCGAAAGCGGCGCGCUGGACCACUACUGACGCUGAGGAACGAAAGCUAGGGGAGCAAACGGG